rnacentral:rRNA from 1 species
GUGGGGAAUCUUGCGCAAUGGGCGAAAGCCUGACGCAGCAACGCCGCGUGCGGGAUGAAGGCCCUCGGGUUGUAAACCGCUUUCAGCAGGGACGAAGAUGACGGUACCUGCAGAAGAAGCCCCGGCCAACUACGUGCCAGCAGCCGCGGUAACACGUAGGGGGCGAGCGUUGUCCGGAUUUAUUGGGCGUAAAGAGCUCGUAGGCGGUUCCGUCAGUCGGGUGUGAAAACUCUGGGCUCAACCCAGAGACGCCACCCGAUACUGCGGUGACUAGAGUCCGGUAGGGGAGUGCGGAAUUCCUGGUGUAGCGGUGAAAUGCGCAGAUAUCAGGAGGAACACCAACGGCGAAGGCAGCACUCUGGGCCGGCACUGACGCUGAGGAGCGAAAGCGUGGGGAGCGAACAGGAUUAGAAACCCCUGUAGUCC